ACUUAUUUAAUACAAGAAAGUAUACUUGACUUCCAAUCAAGAAAUUUGCGAAAAACAAAAUAAGUA
rnacentral:tRNA from 1 species